GAGGCUAUAGCUCAGUGGUAGAGCACGUGCUUACCAUGCAUGAGGUCCAGGGUUCAAUCCCCAGUGCCUCCA
rfam:Camelus ferus unplaced genomic scaffold scaffold463, whole genome shotgun sequence.